GAUGAACGCUGGCGGCGUGCCUAAUACAUGCAAGUCGAGCGAACAGACGAGGAGCUUGCUCCUCUGACGUUAGCGGCGGACGGGUGAGUAACACGUGGAUAACCUACCUAUAAGACUGGGAUAACUUCGGGAAACCGGAGCUAAUACCGGAUAAUAUAUUGAACCGCAUGGUUCAAUAGUGAAAGACGGUUUUGCUGUCACUUAUAGAUGGAUCCGCGCCGCAUUAGCUAGUUGGUAAGGUAACGGCUUACCAAGGCGACGAUGCGUAGCCGACCUGAGAGGGUGAUCGGCCACUCUGGAACUGAGACACGGUCCAGACUCCUACGGGAGGCAGCAGUAGGGAAUCUUCCGCAAUGGGCGAAAGCCUGACAGAGCAACGCCGCGUGAGUGAUGAAGGUCUUCGGAUCGUAAAACUCUGUUAUUAGGGAAGAACAAAUGUGUAAGUAACUAUGCACGUCUUGACGGUACCUAAUCAGAAAGCCACGGCUAACUACGUG
rnacentral:rRNA from 1 species